UUUGUUUCUUGCCAUAUGUGAUCAUGGAACUUUUGCCUGUUCCUUUGGUUUCCUCAUCUGUAAAAUGUAAAUGUAAAAACACCUUUGUUUUAGAUUGGCUAGGUCCUAUCUAGUACCAGCUCUGAACCUAUAUUUUGCCAUAUACAGAAUAUUGGAUAACAACCAAACUAGGCAGGAAUUCAUUAAAAAAAAAAAAUCCUUACCACUGAUAGGCACUUUCCUCCCUCAUAUAAUUUACCUUUAUAGUCCUUUAAGGUUUGGAAGUUGUGUGUGUGUGUGUGAGAGAGUGUGAGUGUGUGAGUGAGUGAGUAUGUAUGUGUGUGUGUUGGUUUGAGCUUAAUUGUAACCUUUUUGGAGGUUGGGAGGGGAGCAAAGUGAGGGAUAAAAGUAAAAAAAGUGCAUAGAGAACAAAAAACCUACAAGGAAUUGAAGAAGAUGGAUAUCUGAACACAAUGUGUACUAUUACAUAAGCUUUCUUGAAAUGGAAAUUUUAUUGCUUUAUAUUUUUAAUCCUCUCAUCUGCUGUGUACUUGGUAAUAUUUUCUUAUUUUAUAUUUGUUUUAAAUAAGAAUUAAGGAAAAAAAGGUUUAGAUGAAGGUAAGUGUCUGAAUUAGAACAAGUGUCUCAGCACCUAAGUUCACUGACUUGUCAUUGUAUUAUGCCAUAGCUUAGCAACACAAAAAUGAAAGCAUAUAAACAACUGCUGUUAACGAUUGCUGUUUGUAUAAAUGUGAACUGGAAAAUGUGAGUUAUUUACUCAGCAUAGCAGGAGAUGCAACUCUUCUGAUAUCCAAAGGAGCACUUUGAGCAAGUGUUUCCAAAGGAGAAGGAAAAUCUUAAAGGUAAAAUGACCAAAAAAAGUGAUCUGUUUUAGAAGAAAUUAUUUUCAUCUGGAAAGAUGAGAAAAGAGAGAGACUCAAAGUGUAUAAAAGAAUAAACAGGUUUGUGCACUGAAUUCUGAUUUAAGUUGAGAGAGCUUAGCCUUCUAGAGAUUGAACUAACAAUCUCAUUUUAUUGUUUAAACAAGCUAGAAAGGCAGUAUUUAGAGCUAAGCCCACUGCUUUUAAGAAUGGUUUUUUUUGGGGGGGAGAAGGGAGGCAGCAACUAGGUGAUGCAGUGGAUAGAGCACCAGCCCUGAAGUUAGGAGUUCAAAUCUGGUCUCAGAUACACUUCCUAGCUGUAUGACCCUGGGCAAGUCAUUUAACUCUAAUUGCCUCAGCAAAUAAAUAAAAAUUCUACCUUACCUCUGUAAUUUAAAUUGAAAAUCAAGAGAGAAAUGUUAAGUCAUAAAGAACUAUAAUCUUAUACAGCAAAGCAUAUUUUGAACUAUAAGACAUUGUGCUAUUAAGCCUUAUAGAAGGUUUAUAUAUGAGGAAACUUAGGGAUUAUUUAGGAAAAUAAUAACAUUUUAAGGUUUCUUAUCUUUUGAAAUUGGUAAUGGCAUUAAGUGGUGAUUUGUUAAGACAUCAGAAGCUAAUUGGUGGGUAGGAACAUCACAAUGAUAAAUUUGAUAAUUAUUAUUGGAGGGAUGUGAUUAUGAGAGACUGACAGUUCAGAUAAAUUGACCGAUAGGUACCAAGUCUAUUCAGUGUUCUAUCUUCUUGUCUUGAUAGUUGGACAAACAAAUCAAUUAACCUCUCAAUAUUCUGUGUAUGGCAAAAUAUAGGUUCAGAGCUGGUGCUAGAUAGGACCUAGCCAAUCUAAUACAAAGGUGUUUUUACAUUUACAUUUUACAGAUGAGGAAACCAAAGGAACAGGCAAAGGUUCCAUGAUCACAUGGAUUCUGUUUCCUAGAUUAUCAUUUAAAAGGAGCUCCAGCAAUACUCACCUACUUGAUUCCAGAUUCAACUCACUCAAUGAAUUUCUCUACUUCCUUGUCACCACCUUGACUGCACUUGAAUACUUUUCUACAUACAACUCUCUCUAUUUUCCAUCUUUCCUCUGUUUGUGAUAUUCCCCCAUUAGAAAGUAAACUCAAGUGGAAGAAUUGUCUGCAUGCUCGGAAUUUAACUAGCAAAUAGUAAUUGCUUAAUAAAUGAUCCAUCUUUGGUUGUGAAUUCUCUUUUUUCAUUUUUUAAAAAUUUGGUUGUUGUUUCUUUUAAAUAAAAUAAACUAAUGGUUUGUCUAUUUUGUCUUCAGAAAACAGCUCCUAGCUUUAUUUAAUUCAAUAGGGUUUGUUUUCUCCCUCAAUUUUAUUUAGAGCCUCAAUGACAGAAUCUUAGGUUAGUGUUCAGUUGGUCAAUAAGCAUUUAUUGAGUGCUUACAAUGUGCCAGGCACUAUGCUAAGUGAUAGGGAUACAAAGAAAGGCAAAAACAAUCUCUAUUUUCAAGGAACUCACCAGUUAAUGGAGGGAACCUCAUACAAACAGAUAAAUACACACACACACACACGAUAUAAGAUAUACAGGAUAAAAUAAGAUAAUCUUGUAUGAGGGAUUUUGAUUAAGACUUUAAUAAUGCUAAGAGGCAGAAAUGAGGGGAGAAAAAUUUGAAACUUAAAAUCUUACAAAAAGGAAUGUUAAAAACUAUUUUUAUAUGUAAUUGGAAAAAUAAAAUACUAUUGAAUUCAGGGGAAAAAGGAAAAGCAUACAAGCAUAGAGGCAAAGAAAGAAUCUUAUGAACCUGUUAUCUGAAAUAGGAAAAAGAAGGUUGAACACAUACUCAAUACUCAAAUAGACUUGAUCAAAAAUGCUUUUUUAUAAAUGUCAUAAACACAAAGGAAUUGUAUAUCCUCUAUAUCUUUUAACCAAUUGUAAAAUGAUAAAGAUGAGAUUUGUUAAAGAUUUUUUCUUGAAAGCUCAUUUUUUUUCCAUGCUAACAUCUUUUGGAGAAUGAAUGGAAUUAGAUGAUUAUUUGAAUAAAAAUUUUGUGUAGAUAGAAAAAUAAGCAUAUUGGUCAAUAGUUGUUCAUAUAUAUUUGAUCUUACUUUGUUAAUAAAGUCUGAACUUUAAAAAAAUACAUUAUUACAUAUUUACAUAUAUAUGUACUAUUUUUAUGUAAUUGAUCUGAAAGUUGUAGAUUUAGUCUUUUGACAUUUGUAUUGAAUUUGAGAUUUCCUUCCAGCCUGUAGCCUGUGGAGUUAUAGGUGGCUUCAGUUUUCAAAUAUUGGCUGCAGUUUCAGAUGAAGUGACAUACUCAUUAUGUGUAUAUAGUGUGAGUAGGAAUACUGAUCAUGUAUUACUGUCCUUAUGCGUUCACAAAGGUGGUUACUAUAUGUACUUAUAAAUAUACAUACACACACACAAUAAAUAAAUGAUGAAACAUGUUACCUAUCUCUUGAUAGAGUUAAUAAACAAAACUUUUUUUGACAUGGUAAUGAUAGGUAUUUGUUUUGCUUGACUAUACUUAUUUGUUACAAAGAGGGGGUGUUUCGUCUUUCAGUUAUUAAUGGGAGAAAAGCUUGGAGGGGAAAAGAAAGUGUAGCUAUAGUGAUGUCAAAAAAAGGCUAUUCUAUCAUUUAAAAAAGUAUGAAAGGAACAAAAAUCAUUUGUUUUGAAAGUAAUUUGAGAAUGUUACAUUUUUUAAAAAGAAAGUGGUAUAAAUAGAGAUUUGUGGUUUCAUUUGCAAUCUUUUUGUGUUUUGUUGUAUAUAUGGAAAUGUUGAUUGGUGUGUAUUUUUGUUCAGCACAUAAAAAAUUUAAAAAUGAUUAAAUAAACUUUCUAGGAA